rnacentral:rRNA from 1 species
CCUACGGGAGGCAGCAGUGAGGAAUAUUGGUCAAUGGGCUUACCCCUGAUCCAGCCAAGUCGCGUGAGGGAAGACUGCCCUAUGGGUUGUACACCUCUUUUGUCAGGGAGCAGUUGGCGCUACGUGUAGCGUUAUCGAGAGUACCUGAAGAAAAAGCAUCGGCUAACUCCGUGCCAGCAGUCGCGUUAAUACGGAGGAUGCGAGCGGUAUACGGAUUUAUUGGGUUUAAAGGUUGCGUAGGCGGAAUGCAAAGUCAGCGGUAAAAUCACGGGGCUCAACCUCGCUCCGCCGUUGAAACUGGCGUGCUUGAGUGGGCGAGAGGUAUGCGGAAUGCGUGGUGUAGCGGUGAAAUGCAUAGAUAUCACGCAGAACUCCGAUUGCGAAGGCAGCAUACCGGCGCCCAACUGACGCUGAAGCACGAAAGCGUGGGUAUCGAACAGGAUUAGAUACCCUGGUAGUC